UGGGGAAUCUUAGACAAUGGGGGAAACCCUGAUCUAGCCAUGCCGCGUGAUCGAUGAAGGCCUUAGGGUUGUAAAGAUCUUUCAGUUGGGAAGAUAAUGACGGUACCAACAGAAGAAGCCCCGGCUAACUCCGUGCCAGCAGCCGCGGUAAUACGGAGGGGGCUAGCGUUAUUCGGAAUUACUGGGCGUAAAGCGCACGUAGGCGGACUGGAAAGUUGGGGGUGAAAGCCCAGGGCUCAACCCUGGAACUGCCCUCAAAACUCCCAGUCUUGAGGUCGAGAGAGGUGAGUGGAAUUCCGAGUGUAGAGGUGAAAUUCGUAGAUAUUCGGAGGAACACCAGUGGCGAAGGCGGCUCACUGGCUCGAUACUGACGCUGAGGUGCGAAAGCGUGGGGAGCAAACA
rnacentral:rRNA from 1 species